rnacentral:rRNA from 1 species
UGGGGAAUAUUGCACAAUGGAGGGAACUCUGAUGCAGCGACGCCGCGGGAGUGAUGAAGGACUUCGUUUCGUAAAACUCUGUUCUAUGGGAAGAAAAGGACUGUACCAUAGGAGAAAGCUCCGGCUAAAUACGUGCCAGCAGCCGCGGUAAUACGUAUGGAGCGAGCGUUGUCCGGAAUUAUUGGGCGUAAAGGGUGCGCAGGCGGCUUUACAAGUUGGAUGUGAAAUAUUGUGGCUCAACCACAAACGUGCAUCCAAAACUGCAAAGCUUGAGUUAAGGAGAGGUAAGUGGAAUUCCUGGUGUAGCGGUGGAAUGCGUAGAUAUCAGGAGGAAUACCGGUGGCGAAGGCGACUUACUGGACUUAAACUGACGCUCAGGCACGAAAGCGUGGGGAGCAAACAGG